CUCCGAUCCCAUUUCAGAAACCGUAGAAGCGUUCCCGGCGUCAUAAGCUCCAUUUUGAACCAAUCAUCUCCGAGUUCUGAAACUGUUUGAAGAGUUAAGUGAUCGUGAGGGUAGAAGUUGUAGUUGGACGAACCAAAAAAACCCACUUUUAGAUCGUUCAAUCACGUAUCCAGAGGGAGACGAGCGGCUGGAAGAUGUGCUGGACGAAGAGAACUUGGUAGAAGUUGAGAUGAAG